rnacentral:rRNA from 1 species
AGAGUUUGAUCAUGGCUCAGAUUGAACGCUGGCGGCAUGCCUUACACAUGCAAGUCGAACGGUAACAGGUCUUCGGAUGCUGACGAGUGGCGAACGGGUGAGUAAUACAUCGGAACGUGCCCAGUAAUGGGGGAUAGCUCGGUGAAAGCCGGAUUAAUACCGCAUACGCCCUGAGGGGGAAAGUGGGGGACCGCAAGGCCUCACGUUAUUGGAGCGGCCGAUGGCUGAUUAGCUAGUUGGUAGGGUAAAGGCCUACCAAGGCGACGAUCAGUAGCUGGUCUGAGAGGACGAUCAGCCACACUGGGACUGAGACACGGCCCAGACUCCUACGGGAGGCAGCAGUGGGGAAUUUUGGACAAUGGGGGAAACCCUGAUCCAGCAAUGCCGCGUGUGCGAAGAAGGCCUUCGGGUUGUAAAGCACUUUUGUCAGGGAAGAAAUCCUUUGGGCUAAUACCCUAGGGGGAUGACGGUACCUGAAGAAUAAGCACCGGCUAACUACGUGCCAGCAGCCGCGGUAAUACGUAGGGUGCAAGCGUUAAUCGGAAUUACUGGGCGUAAAGCGUGCGCAGGCGGUUGUGUAAGACAGGUGUGAAAUCCCCGGGCUUAACCUGGGAAUUGCAUUUGUGACUGCACGACUAGAGUGUGUCAGAGGGGGGUGGAAUUCCACGUGUAGCAGUGAAAUGCGUAGAUAUGUGGAGGAACACCAAUGGCGAAGGCAGCCCCCUGGGAUAACACUGACGCUCAUGCACGAAAGCGUGGGGAGCAAACAGGAUUAGAUACCCCGGUAGUCC